UACAGAGGGUGCGAGCGUUGUUCGGAAUUACUGGGCGUAAAGAGUUCGUAGGCGGACUUGUUAGUAUAUGGUUAAAUACCGGGGCCCAACCUCGGGACUGCUAUGUAAACGGCAAGUCUAGAGUACUAGAUGGGAUGGCGGAAUUCCUGGUGUAGAGGUGAAAUUCGUAGAUAUCAGGAGGAACAUCGGUGGCGAAGGCGGCUAUCUGGCUAGGUACUGACGCUAAAGAACGAAAGCGUGGGGAGCAAACAGG
rnacentral:rRNA from 1 species